GAUGAACGCUGGCGGCGUGCCUAAUACAUGCAAGUCGAGCGAACAGACGAGGAGCUUGCUCCUCUGACGUUAGCGGCGGACGGGUGAGUAACACGUGGAUAACCUACCUAUAAGACUGGGAUAACUUCGGGAAACCGGAGCUAAUACCGGAUAAUAUAUUGAACCGCAUGGUUCAAUAGUGAAAGACGGUUUUGCUGUCACUUAUAGAUGGAUCCGCGCCGCAUUAGCUAGUUGGUAAGGUAACGGCUUACCAAGGCAACGAUGCGUAGCCGACCUGAGAGGGUGAUCGGCCACACUGGAACUGAGACACGGUCCAGACUCCUACGGGAGGCCGCAGUAGGGAAUCUUCCGCAAUGGGCGAAAGCCUGACGGAGCAACGCCGCGUGAGUGAUGAAGGUCUUCGGAUCGUAAAACUCUGUUAUUAGGGAAGAACAAAUGUGUAAGUAACUAUGCACGUCUUGACGGUGCCUAAUCAGAAAGCCACGGCUAACUACGUG
rnacentral:rRNA from 1 species